GGACAAAUCUGAGAGCAUCGGAGGGCUGAGAAGUCAUCCAGUACACAAUACUGCAAUAGGCCACUGGAAACAUGAUCUGGCAGAGAAAGGGCAUGAAUUAUUCAAACGGAGCAGCUCUAUGUAUAAGAAGGAUCUAAUAAGAACAGGAUCAACUGCAAAAUGUUGACUUCUUCUUGAAAAAAAGUAUCAUUUCCCAAAGAGGAUUAUGGUCUCCUGAUUCUUUAUUUUAAGAGUCAUCUCGAUAAGAUUAGGGCAAAACUAGCCUAUCAAAAGCACCAUCAAUUUAAAGCGUUAGUCAAUAGAAAUGUCAAUAGGUCUAGAAGAAGCCGUAGUAACACUAUUCUUAAAACUGUGAUUUGAAGGAUUCUGAGAAGUAUCACUACCCAGUGAUAAAAGGUGCCAAAAUUCCAUUCAUGAAACACUUCUUAUGGUUAAAUCAAGCGUGGCACUCAUCAUUCAUGUGUUACUUUUAUAAACCACAAAUACUCCAGUUUAUGAAAAGGAUUAUUCCCCAGAACAUAAUGUUUUCCAAUAACAACUCCUGGAUUUGGUGAAAAUUUAGAUGAAAGCCACAUUUCCCCAACAGGCAUGUUGCUUCUUUCAUCUCCCAUAUAUAAAAGGAAAAUGUUUCUGCAGUCAUUACUUACACGUGAGGACGGUAGGCAUUAGUGCAGCAAACAUGAGAAACAACAUGGAAAAGAAGAGGAAACCAGAGUUGCUCAAGACUUUCUUUGCUUCAUUCCCAAUUCCUAAAUAUAGCAAGCCUAUAAGAAGUCCAAUUCCAAUAUGUGAUGUGAUCCUUAAAUGUGUUAAUACCUAAGGGAAAACACAUUUUACUCAAGUUAUUUUUGCUUAAUUUUGUAUUUAAUUAAUUGUACAAUAAAAAACAAAUAGGCAACAAUGAA